rnacentral:rRNA from 1 species
GAUGAACGCUGGCGGCGUGCCUAAUACAUGCAAGUCGAGCGAACGGACGAGAAGCUUGCUUCUCUGAUGUUAGCGGCGGACGGGUGAGUAACACGUGGAUAACCUACCUAUAAGACUGGGAUAACUUCGGGAAACCGGAGCUAAUACCGGAUAAUAUUUUGAACCGCAUGGUUCAAAAGUGAAAGACGGUCUUGCUGUCACUUAUAGAUGGAUCCACGCUGCAUUAGCUAGUUGGUAAGGUAACGGCUUACCAAGGCAACGAUGCAUAGCCGACCUGAGAGGGUGAUCGGCCACACUGGAACUGAGACACGGUCCAGACUCCUACGGGAGGCAGCAGUAGGGAAUCUUCCGCAAUGGGCGAAAGCCUGACGGAGCAACGCCGCGUGAGUGAUGAAGGUCUUCGGAUCGUAAAACGCUGUUAUUAGGGAAGAACAUAUGUGUAAGUAACUGUGCACAUCUUGACGGUACCUAAUCAGAAAGCCACGGCUAACUACGU